GGUUGCUAUGGGCAACUCAGCAACUUUUCCUCUGCACAGGUUUUGAUAAAUCUCCCCAAUGUCCUAAAAAAGUAAAAUGGAGCCGCCCUUACCUGGUGUCCAAAGGAGCAGCUAACCCAGUUACAGCAGCUCAUUCAAAGUGUAUGACUUAGCAGGAGACAACAAUGAGCACAGAAGGAACCUCGACCAGCAAAAAGAAUACGAAAUCUGCUCCAUUCGGAGCCAUGGCAGGAAGGAAAUUCACAAUAAAUAAAGAGCAAUAAAUAACGCAGCAGUGUAUCUGGAUUUAUGCCAUCUGCUACUGUAUAUGAUAUUAACUCUGUACAGUACUAAAGGAAGUGAAGAACAAUUCACAGCAAGAUGCAGGAUCACCAACUGGACUCUACUUAUUGAUAUAUUACCAAUGUGAACCGUACAAACAAUGUUCCCAGCAGGACACGCCAGAUAAAACUCACAUUCUGAGACAGGAUUUUAUACAGUAUGUUUUAAGGAAAAUGUCUGGUAUAAUUUUAUGCAAGUCUGUUGGAGAAAAGUAAUAUAUCUGUAUUUGUUUUAAAUGUGGUAUUUAUUUGAUUUUAUUUUAACCCCUAAAAAACGCAGUGGGUAAUUGUAACCCUUUGCUAUCUAGUACAUAGCGCACCAGGGCGUACAUUACACCCGGCGGCGUGUACAAUCUACAAAGUGAGCAGACGCCGUGACCUGCCACUAGUGGGGGACAUCGGCAGUCAGACUGAUACCCACCAUUAGCGUGGCUGGGGCUUAGCAGGGCUUUGUGACUAUUUGCCAAUAUGUGGUAGUUUAUUACACAGUGCAGAAUAGGUUUUGUCAUUGGAAAACCCCUUUAACCCCCUUAAGGACCAAGCCCAUUGGACCAGAGCGUUUUUUGCAAAUUUGACCACUGUCACUUUAAGCAUUAAUAACUCUGGAAUGCUUUAACUUUUCAUUCUGAUUCCGACAUAUUCUACUUUAUGUUAGUGGUACAUUUUCGGUGUUACUUGCAUCCUUUCUUGGUGAAAAAUCACAAAAUUUGAUGACAAAUUUGAAAAUUUUGCAUUUUUUUUUAACUUUGA